UUUUGUUCGGUGUCUGAUUGUCAUUGUACCUAUGUGUCAAGCUUUCGUAAAGUGUCCCGGCCUUGGUUUCCUUGUGUGUUCUUUUGGACUUAUCUUUGGCUUCUCUUGGACCUUGCAUGGAUUUUGGACUUUGCCUGCUCCCUGUCUGAAUUGUUUUGCCCCUGUUGGACUGCCUAAAGUCUAUUUUUCUUUAAAAAUAAAGGGGAUGACAUGCAGCAAAGGGCGGCAGGUUGGAUUCCACACCGGGCCGCUGUGGUAGGGACUCAGCCUUGCUGAGGCACGCACUGUACCAGGCUGAAGAGGUGAAGCCCCAUCUGAAGACUCAUAUGAAGUGGAAGAAGGCAUUUUCGAUAGGAAGUCAAACAUGCUGGUGGAAAUUUAUUCCAUCAUAUUUUCAAAAGCCUUCCUCCGCUCUGUGAAGCACUGCCCGCAUAGAGUCACUGUGUACUGUUACUGGAAAAAUACACAAUGUUUUUCAAAGAGUCUAGAUCUUAAAAAGAAAACAUUUAUAUUGUAUAACAAGCUGUUGCCAGCCCCAGGUUUGUGUAACCAGAUUAUCACUGUUCACCAUUUAUUUGUAUGUUCUAUUUAGUUUAUGUAGUAUGCUUUUUAAUAUUGUCGUCAUUCAUUUUACAAGUUAUAUAUAAAUAAGAUUGUAUAAGGAAGUUCACAAGAUGCGACUAAAAAAAUUUUUUUUUAAAGUAAGGUCUACUUGUGAUACGAAUUUCAUGCCAUUUCCAGGGUCAAGAACGGACCUUCAAGCUUAAUAUAAUUAUUUCACUGCAAAAUCAUGUAAUUUAAUGAUUAAUUGGAAUGUAAUAAAGGCAUUUUCAUGGGACAUGAAAAAAA